GCCAAAAAUCUCCUAGAACUAAUAAAUGAAUUCAGUAAAGUAGCUAGAUAUAAAAUCAACAUCCAUAAAUCAAAGGCAUUUCUGUACAUCAGUGGCAAAUCCUCAGAAAGAGAAACUAGCAGAACCACCCCAUUUACAAUAGCCUAAAAAAAACUUAGGAAUCAAUUGAACAAAAGAGGUGAAAGACCUUACAAUGAAAACUACAGCAUGCUAAAGAAAAUGACAGAGACGCCUUUAAGAGAGAAAAAGAGCAGCUCAGUCUGGAAAAGCGACAAAUACUUGAACAGUGUGAAAACUUGAAACUGGAAUGUAGUCAAUUGCAGCCUUCUGUGAUGGAGCAGAAAGAUGAGGAAAUUAAGAAUUUGCAGAAAACCAUUGAACAAAUAAAAGCCCAGUUGCAGGAAGACAGAACACUAAAGCAGACAAUUCUGAUAGUUUUCAAGAAACAAAAGUUAAAAACCUUCCUAUAGAAAAUAGAAGUGAAAAACACGACCUGUAUAACUAUGAAACUGAAAAAUUAGUGAAAGAUAUCCAAGAACAAGAACUUGAGAUUCAACUUCUAAAUGAAAAGAAUAUACCUUUAAUCAAACAGGGUGAUCAGCUGUCCAAAGAUGAAGUUGGUAAACUCACUCAAGUUAAACAGCAGAAAGAUGUGGAGAUACAAGCUCUUCAGGCUAAAAUUUACCCAGGAUGUUGUUUCCCUUCAGCAGCAACUGCAGACCUUCACUAUGGAAAGAGAACAAAUAUUAGCUGUUUUGAAUGAGAAGACAAAAGAAAAUAUCCAACUGCAAGCAAAACAUCAGAAAAUGAAGGAUAUAGUCACUGCCAAAGCAGCAGCCCUCAUCCAACUUCAAGAAGAAAAUAAAAAAUUGUCCACCAAAUUGAAAAUACCGAUCAAGAUAUGUUUAGAGAAACUCUGCAGAAUUUAUCUCAUAUCAUUAGAGAAAAAGACAUUGAAAUAGAUGCACUAAGUCAGAAAUCUCAGACUUUAUUGGAAGUUUUACGAACCUCUGGCACUGGUCAUGAAGUUCCAGGUGUUAAUAGUCAUCAGUUCUAGGAGCUCCUACAAGAAUGCGAUGAAUUAAAACAGCAAGUAAAAAAAAAAAAUGGAGAAAUGGAAACAACAGGUAAUGACAAACCUCCAAAAUCUGCAUCAUGAGUCAGCCCAACAUGAGGAAGACCUUCUUCAACUUUUAGCCACCUUUUGGUUGACAGUGAUAAAAGUUCUAAAUUAGGAGCAGACUACAUUGGCCUCAUCCAAUGUUAUGAGCUGAAUGAAACCAAACUCAAACAUUUUGGGCACAAAUUAGGCCAGUUGCAGCAGUGCCUAGGGCAACUUUGCAGCAGCAAAGAUCUCUUUUUAGGAAAACUUGAUAUGAUUACACCCCAGCUGUUGUCUACCUCAUCAUUUACCUCCCAGUCAGCAGAGGUAGAAGAGCUGAGAAAAAUCACUGCAAGAAAAACAGGCCACCAUUAAGGAGCUCUCCAGGAGAAUUACCAUAGGUUGUCUGAUGUAACUGCUGCCACCUCCAAGAGAGAAAAGAAAGAACAUGAACAAAUUGAUUACAAAAUUAAAGAGCUCAAGGAAAAACAAGAUCUGGUACAAAAUUUACUGAAAGAAAAAGACCUCUUAAUCCAAGCCAAAAGUGAUCAGUUACUUUCUUCAAAUGAAAAGCUCACUGACAAACUGAAUGAAAAUGAGUUGUUGAGGCAAGCAAUAACAAAUCUCAAGGAGAGAAUAUUAAUUUUAG
rnacentral:lncRNA from 1 species